UUAGUAUCAAGAAAAAUACGA
rnacentral:piRNA from 1 species